AGAGUUUGAUCCUGGCUCAGAGCGAACGCUGGCGGCGUGCCUAACACAUGCAAGUCGAACGUGAAAUGGGUAACCAGAGUAAAGUGGCGUACGGGUGAGUAAUACGUAGGUAAUCUACCUGAGUGUCUGGAAUAACCUGCCGAAAGGCGGGCUAAUACUGGAUAGAGCGAUGGGAUCCGUAAUUGGGUCUUUCGGGAAAG
rnacentral:rRNA from 1 species